CAGCCACAACCUGCCGCACCUGUCCAGGGUAAAUGAACAGCCCACAAAAUUUUUCACCUAAAACCCGGUAAAAAAUUUUGCGUUCUGCCCAGGACAGGUGCGUCAGGCCGUGGCAGUGAUGCCCCUUGCGGCGAAGGUUCUCAAAAAGGUGAUGGUGAAUACCGGAGGGAACAAAAGGCAGGUCCCCGCAAAACGUCAAAACCGCGGCUCCCGAAACUCAAAAGAUGAUGGGGGCUGAAAACAUCAGAUACAGGAGGAAACAUGAGCGCAUUUUCUUUUAACACCACUUAUCAGCCAACAGGCGAUCAGCAGAAAGACGCAAUCGCACAAAUCGGGAUCAUGCAGAAUCGUGCUGUUCAGGCAAAUCUUGCAUAUCAGAGCUGCCGGGAUUCUGGUGCACUCUUUAAGGUGCUCCACCAGGUCAAUAAUGAGCUGCAUGACU
rnacentral:rRNA from 1 species